rnacentral:antisense_RNA from 1 species
ACGCAUGCGUGCAGGAUCCCUGGGCAUAGCCGCUUGUUCUCCGCCCUCGGUGGAACAGCUGCGUAACGGUUCACUCACUGAUGGCGCCUGGAGGUUUGGCGAAAUACUGACAGGAUGCGACGUCAACGGGAGCGCAGGGCCAAGAUACCCUUUAUAUCAAACCGUCUAUCCUGGAGCAGAAAAAUCCUGUCUUCAUUGCUAUAGCUACAGAUUCAGAAAUGAGCAUGUAACAAAUUCAGGCCAAAGAGAGGCAAUGGAAAUCAGAGAAACACUGUUCCUGAAAGCUUCUGUCACUCAAGAAUCCAUGAAACAUUCAUGAACUUCACAUCAGAGUCCUCAGAAGGGAAGAUAGUGUUAAUGUAGAAUUGAUAACACAGAAUGCACCACUGCUGUGAUCCUUAUAUCUUGGCUGGCCAUUACCCCUCCACUUGGAAAUGAAAAAGAUAAACUAAUUGAAGCAGUGAGAAGAGAAAAAGGGAGAGGAAGGUGCUAUUGUGGAGGUGCAUACCCAACAGUUUGAUAAUGUAGAGGAAGUGAUAGCUUUGUCUGGUGGAAUCUGGGUCGACCUC